CCUACGGGAGGCAGCAGUGAGGAAUAUUGGUCAAUGGGCGGAAGCCUGAACCAGCCAAGUCGCGUGAGGGAAUAAGGCCCUACGGGUCGUAAACCUCUUUUGCCGGGGAGCAAGGGCGGGGACGUGUCCCGGCCCGGAGAGUACCCGGAGAAAAAGCAUCGGCUAACUCCGUGCCAGCAGCCGCGGUAAUACGGAGGAUGCGAGCGUUAUCCGGAUUUAUUGGGUUUAAAGGGUGCGUAGGCGGGCUUUUAAGUCAGCGGUAAAAAUUCGGGGCUCAACCCCGUCCGGCCGUUGAAACUGGCAAACUGGAGUGUGUGAGAGGAUAGUGGAAUUCCAGGUGUAGGAGUGAAAUCCGUAGAUAUCUGGAGGAACAUCAGUGGCGAAGGCGACUAUCUGGCACAUAACUGACGCUGAGGAGCGAAAGCGUGGGUAGCAAACAGGAUUAGAUACCCCUGUAGUC
rnacentral:rRNA from 1 species